CGGGGAAGGGGUGAUAGGUGUGAUGGUGUAGAGUGACUGCCCCGGGGAAGGGGUGAUAGGUGUGAUGGUGUAGAGUGACUGCCCCGGGGAAGGGGUGAUAGGUGUGAUAUGACUGCCCCGGGGAAGGGGUGAUAGGUGUGAUGGUGUAGAGUGACUGCCCCGGGGGAGGGGUGAUAGGUGUGACGGUGUAGAGUGACUGCCCCGGGGGAGGGGUGAUAGGUGUGAUGUGACUGCCCCGGGGGAGGGGUGAUAGGUGGGAUGGUGUAGAGUGACUGCCCUGGGGAGAGUGGCCCUCCACCAGCCAUGCCCCAG